GAUGAACGCUGGCGGCGUGCCUAAUACAUGCAAGUCGAGCGAACAGACGAGGAGCUUGCUCCUCUGACGUUAGCGGCGGACGGGUGAGUAACACGUGGAUAACCUACCUAUAGGACUGGGAUAACUUCGGGAAACCGGAGCUAAUACCGGAUAACAUGUUGAACCGCAUGGUUCAAUAGUGAAAGACGGUUUUGCUGUCACUUAUAGAUGGAUCCGCGUCGCAUUAGCUAGUUGGUAAGGUAACGGCUUACCAAGGCAACGAUGCGUAGCCGACCUGAGAGGGUGAUCGGCCACACUGGAACUGAGACACGGUCCAGACUCCUACGGGAGGCAGCAGUAGGGAAUCUUCCGCAAUGGGCGAAAGCCUGACGGAGCAACGCCGCGUGAGUGAAGAAGGUCUUCGGAUCGUAAAACUCUGUUAUUAGGGAAGAACAAAUGUGUAAGUAACUAUGCACGUCUUGACGGUACCUAAUCAGAAAGCCACGGCUAACUACGUG
rnacentral:rRNA from 1 species